GUCCUGCUUUUUUCCUUCCACACUGAAAAAUGAAGCCUGUUAAAGUCCUGAUGUGCUUUGAGACAUCAGGACUGUUUUAAAGCUUCAUGUGUAAUAGUCAGCAGAGGUGUGACCACACUUCAUACUUGCCUCAUAUUACUCAAUCUUCCUCUUCCUGCCGUCUUUCACAGCUGCUCGGAUCAGAAACCCUCCAAAGUAUCAUCAGCGCUCCUGUUUCUCUGUGAUGAUGUCGGAGGACCUUCUAAACACUCUGGAAGAUCUGGGAGAUGAAGAGUUUAAUAAAUUCAAGUGGUUCCUACAGCAGACCGACGUCAUUCAAGGCCCCAUGACCAUCAAGAAGAGCCGACUGGAGACAACAAGCAGGUGGGACACCGUGGACUUGAUGGUGCAGACCUACAGACUUUCUGGAGCUGUUGAGGUGACCAGAAGGGUUUUAAAGAGGAUCGGCAGGAAUGACCUGCUGCUCAGUUUGUCUGUUAUCAGGCCCAGACCCGAAGUGAAUGUCAGUGAUUUGACCUCUCAGGCUCCUCUUCCUCAGACUGAAGGUAAGUCACUGCUUUGUUUUCCAUACAUUCCAGGCUUCUUUACUCCAAAUAUCUCAAUGUGAAGUAACUGUGAGCAUGACAUUGAACUGUCACCUGGUUUUACCCAUAAUUCUUGGUUGUUUUAUAGUCACUUAUAAUGUU